rnacentral:tRNA from 1 species
UCCCUGUGGCUCAGUUGGUAGAGCAUGGUGUUUGCAAUGCCAGGGUUGUGGGUUUGAUUCCCAUGGGGAG